rnacentral:rRNA from 1 species
UGGCGGACGGGGUGAGUAAUGUCUGGGAAACUGCCCGAUGAGGGGGAGUAACUACUGGAAACGGUAGCUAAUACCGCAUAACGUCGCAAGACCAAAGAGGGGGACCUUAGGGCCUCUUGCCAUCGGAUGUGCCCAGAUGGGAUUAGCUAGUAGGUGGGGUAAUGGCUCACCUAGGCGACGAUCCCUAGCUGGUCUGAGAGGAUGACCAGCCACACUGGAACUGAGACACGGUCCAG